CCACAGUCCCAACAGCCAACAUAAGGCUAGGUAGAAGGACACCUCAGUUCCCAUCAGCCAACACAAGGCUAGGUAGAAGGACACCACAGUCCCAACAGCCAACACAAGGCUAGGUAGAAGGACACCACAGUCCCAUCAGCCAACACAAGGCUAGGUAGAAGGACACCACAGUCCCAACAGCCAACAUAAGGCUAGGUAGAAGGACACCUCAGUUCCAUCAGCCAACAUAAGGCUAGGUAGAAGGACACCUCAGUCCCAUCAGCCAACAUAAGGCUAGGUAGAAGGAACCCUGGUUCAAUCAGCCAACAUAAGGCUAGGUAGAAGGACACCUCAGUCCCAUCAGCCAACAUAAGGCUAGGUAGAAGGACACCUCAGUCCCAUCAGCCAACAUAAGGCUAGGUAGAAGGUCACCUCAGUUCAAUCAGCCAGCAUAAGGCUAGGUAGAAGGACACCUCAGUCCCAUCAGCCAACAUAAGGCUAGGUAGAAGGACACCUCAGUCCCAUCAGCCAACAUAAGGCUAGGUAGAAGGACACCUCAGUCCCAUCAGCCAACAUAAGGCUAGGUAGAAGGACACCUCAGUCCCAUCAGCCAACAUAAGGCUAGGUAGAAGGACACCUCAGUCCCAUCAGCCAACAUAAGGCUAGGUAGAAGGACACCUCAGUCCCAUCAGCCAACAUAAGGCUAGGUAGAAGGACACCUCAGUCCCAUCAGCCAACAUAAGGCUAGGUAGAAGGACACCUCAGUCCCAACAGCCAACAUAAGGCUAGGUAGAAGGACACCUCAGUCCCAUCAGCCAACUCAAGGCUAGGUAGAAGGACACCUCAGUCCCAUCAGCCAACAUAAGGCUAGGUAGAAGGACACCUCAGUCCCAUCAGCCAACUCAAGGCUAGGUAGAAGGACACCUCAGUCCCAUCAGCCAACAUAAGGCUAGGUAGAAGGACACCUCAGUCCCAUCAGCCAACAUAAGGCUAGGUAGAAGGACACCUCAGUCCCAUCAGCCAACAUAAGGCUAGGUAGAAGGACACCUCAGUCCCAUCAGCCAACAUAAGGCUAGGUAGAAGGACACCUCAGUCCCAUCAGCCAACAUAAGGCUAGGUAGAAGGACACCUCAGUCCCAUCAGCCAACAUAAGGCUAGGUAGAAGGACACCUCAGUCCCAUCAGCCAACAUAAGGCUAGGUAGAAGGACACCUCAGUCCCAUCAGCCAACAUAAGGCUAGGUAGAAGGACACCUCAGUCCCAUCAGCCAAC